rnacentral:rRNA from 1 species
UACGUAGGGUGCAAGCGUUAAUCGGAAUUACUGGGCGUAAAGCGUGCGCAGGCGGUUAUGUAAGACAGAUGUGAAAUGCCCGGGCUUAACCUGGGAACUGCAUUUGUGACUGCAUGGCUAGAGUUUGGCAGAGGGGGGUAGAAUUCCACGUGUAGCAGUGAAAUGCGUAGAUAUGUGGAGGAACACCGAUGGCGAAGGCAGCCCCCUGAGUCAAGACUGACGCUCAUGCACGAAAGCGUGGGGAGCAAACAGG